GACGAACGCUGGCGGCAGGCCUAACACAUGCAAGUCGAACGAGAAAGCACCUUCGGGUGUGAGUAUAGUGGCGCACGGGUGAGUAACACGUGGGAAUCUACCCAGCAGUAAGGAAUAACUCAGGGAAACUUGAGCUAAUACCAUAUACGCCCUUCGGGGAAGGAUUAUCGCUGUUGGAUGAGCCCGCGGGACGAUUAGCUAGUUGGUGGGGUAAAAGGACCUACCAAGGCUACGAUGUCUAGCUGGUCUGAGAGGAUGAUCAGCCACACUGGAACUGAGACACGGUCCAGACUCCUACGGGAGGCAGCAGUGGGGAAUAUUGGACAAUGGGGGAAACCCGUGAUCCAGCCAUGCCGCGUGUGUGAUGAAGGCCUUAGGGUUGUAAAGCACUUUC
rnacentral:rRNA from 1 species